UAUCAUUUUCUCAAAGAAUUU
rnacentral:piRNA from 1 species